UGGUGUUACGAUAAAAUGAAG
ensembl:piRNA 21ur-4877 ncRNA